AGCUAGUUAGUCUAGUAGUAUAGUUCUUAGCUAUAAUCUAAGAGGUCGUAGGUUUAAUUCCUAUACUAGCUA
rnacentral:tRNA from 1 species